rnacentral:lncRNA from 1 species
UUCUAUGAUGGAUUUUGCUUUGUUCUUGUCAAUCUCUAUGCCUCUUUGGUGGACCAAGAAUCCUAAGAAAUUUCCUGCUUGAACGCCAAUCAGCAUAAAUGGUUGGUCUCAUGAAUCCUGCUUUGAGCAACCUUUCUAUUUCUUCCUUGACCUUCAGUUCUAUGUCCAUAUACAUCCUUCUUCUGGCCUGUUUGACUGGAAGAUAACCCUCUUUGAUUGGC